UCUGCAGAUGCUGGAAAUUCAAAUAACAACACACACAAAAUGCUGGUGGAACACAGAAGGGAGAAGCACUGUCGACGUUUCGGGACGAGAUCCUUCGUCCCAUCUGGCAUCAGUUGCCUGGGCAUUUGAUCGGGUACAACAGGUACUUCCGAAUUUCAAAAGCAGCUACGUCAAAGGAAACCUUUACAAAUUACUUUUCCCAUUGUCUCAUUAGAUUUCUCAAAACAUCUCAAGAGGAAAAUCACAACCCUCCUGGUCCACACGAGUCAGUCUGAUGUGGACUUCGGACGUCCUUCUCAGGCGCGAACACGACAUAGCAAGACAGAACCGCAGCAACUGGGUGGAGGGAGCCGGCCGGGGAAGGGUCCCGGCCGCGCUAAAGUAAGCGGCUUGCGCCGGCGCUUCUAACGCGGCCUAACCCGGCUCUCUUCCUGUUCUUCCACCAUGCAAAGAAAUGGGUUAAUUACCUAGUCUGGAAGUUCCAGAUCAUUCAAAUCCUUCUCCAGUGACUGCAGGUGGUUUCAAGGGAUGAUCCCCAAAAAUUCUGGACCAAACUGGAAUCACAGAAGGUGACAGUUGUGACAGGGCUUCAAGUUUAUCACCUCCUACAAUGUAAAACAGCAUAGGUAACACCAAGGUUUCGCCCUCAGAUGAGCGCAGUGCCUUUUAUGCUUACUUUGACCGACAGAACAGGGAGGCACCUUCAAGGACUCCCACAACUCCCAGUGGCAUUAUGAUUUCUGAGGCUGAUGUGAGAGCAUUCUUCAGGAGGGUGAACCCACAGAAAGCAUCGUACCUGGACGAGUACUGAGGACUUGUGCUGAUCAACUGGCUGGAGUGUUCACUGAUAUCUUUAAUCUCUCACUUCGGCUGUCUGAAGUACCCACUUGCUUCAAGAAGGCUUCAAUUAUACCUGAGACCAAGAAGAUUGUGAUAACCUGUCUCAAUGAUUAUCAUCCAGUAGCACUUACAUCCACUGUGAUAAAGUGCUUCGAGAGGUUGGUGAUGAAACAUAUCAACUCCGGCCUGAAGAGUGACUUGGAUCCACUCCAAUUUGCCUACCAUCACAACAGGUCGACAGCAGAUGCUAUUUCAUUGGCCCUUCAUUCAUCCCUGGAAUACCUGCGCAGUGAAGAUGCAAAAAUCAGAAUGCUCUUCACUGACUAUAGCUCAGAAUUCAGUACUUUCAUUCCCCUCAAAACUAAUCAAUAGACUCCAAGACCUAGGCAUUAAUACCUACUUGUGCAACUUGGUUCUCGAUUUCCUCACUUGCAGACCCCAGCCAGUACAGAUUGGCAACAAUAUCUCCAGCACAAUCUCCAUCAGCAACUAAUUUAUUUAAGACAAGGUUGGAUAGAUGUUUGCAUAGUAAGGGAAUUUGAGGUUAUGGGGAAAAGGUAGGUAGGUGGAGAUGAGUCCAUGACCAGACCAGCCAUGAUCUUACUGAAUGGCAGAACAGGCUUCAUGGGCCAGUUGGCCUACUUCUGCUCCUAUUUCUUAUGUUCUUGCGUCCCUUAUCAAAAAGACGACACCUCCCCUUGCUUACAUACAUUUUAGGCCUGUGUCAUCUGUAUCCUAGAAAGACCCUAUUGUAUCCGCCUCCACCACCACAACCAUAGUCGGCAGCCCAUUCCACGCACUCACCAUCUCCACGUAAAAAAAACUUAUCCCCAACAUCUCCUCUGUACUACUUCCAGGCACCUUAAAACUGUGCCCUCUCAUGCUAGCCAUUUCAGCUCUGGGAAAAAGCCUCUGACUAUCCAUACAAUCAAUGCCUCUCAUCAUCUUAUACACCUCUAUCAGGUCACCUCUCAUCCUCCUUCACUCCAAGGAAAAAAAGCCGAGUUCACUCAAUCUAUUCUCAUAAGGCAAGCUCCCCAAUCCAGGCAACAUCCUUGUAAAUUUCCUCUGUACCCUUUCUAUAGUUUCCACAUCCUUCCUGUAGUGAGGCGACCAGAACUGAGCAUAGUACUCCAAGUGGGGUCUGACCAGGGUCCUAUAUAGCUGCAACAUUACCUCUUAGCUCUUAAGCUGAAUCCCAUGGUUGAUGAAGGCCAAUGCACUGUAUGCCUCCUUAACCACAGAGUCAACCUGCGUAGCUGCUUUAAGUGUCCUAUGGACUUGGACCCCAAGAUCCCCCUAAUCCUCCACACUGCCAAGUAUCUUACCAUUAAUACUAUAUUCUGCAAUCAUAUUUGACCUACCAAAAUGAACCAGCCCAGUUUUGCAUCCUAUCAAUGUCCUGCUGUAACUUCUGACAACCCUCCACACUAUCCUCAACACCCCCAACAUUUGUGUAAUCAGCAAAUUUACUAACCUAUCCCUCCACUUCUUCAUUGAGGUCAUUUACAAAAAUCACAAAGGGAAGGAGUCCCAGAACAGGUCACUGAGGCACACCACUGAUCACCAACCUCCAUGCAGAAUAUGACCCGUCUACAACCACUCUCUGCCUUCUGUGGGCAAUCCAAUUCUGGGUCCACAAAGUGGUGUUCCCUUGGAUCCCAUGCCUCCUUACUUUCUUAAUAAGACUUGCAUGGGGUACUUUAUCAAAUGCCUUGCUGAAAUCCAUACACACUACUGUCAUUGGGGGACAGGAGGCUAGACCCAAGUGCAGGAUGCAGUACUAGGUGCAGGAUGGGAACAACUAAACGAUAGACAAGAAAUGGUGACCAUUGGGUGCGUGAGGGACGUGACGUUCAAGGUGAUUCUGGGGUUCUGGGGGAGUCUUAGAGUUCAGGCAAGGAGGAUCCCAGAGUUCAGGCAGGCAGGAUCUUGGAUUUCAGGUAGGGUCUAGGAGCUCACUGGGUGGGCCACAUAACUCCUGGGCAGGGCCCAGACCUCCCAGGCAGGAACACGGGGGCCUGGUCAGGUCACGGGACACCUGGGUAGGUAGUGGGGCACAACCCAUCGACAGCGAGGGAUAGGUAGGGGCAGAGACCUCUGGGCGGGCCGCAUAACUCUUAGGCAGGGCCCAGACCUUCCAGCAGGAACAUGGGGGCCUGAGCAGGUCGUGGGGCACGACCCAUCUGCAGUGAGGGAUGGAAAGGGGCAGAAUCCCCCACCGGGCAACAGCAGUCCAGCAAGGCUUGCCCAAUGGAGGCAAGGGAUAGAAAGGGAACUAGGUCCAGGGUGACUGCCAGACUUACUCAAAGAACUCAUCUUUAAUGAGGGGAACUCCAAGCCAGGGCAACUGGAGGAACAGGAUAGGCAGGACGACCCCUCAACUCCACUCAGUCCCAGAGCCCCCUAUAUACACCACCAGCCGAUGGGCAUCAGGUGCGCCUCCUUGAGUCCAAACAAGCCACGAUGAUCCACAGGUAUGACUUCUUGGGCUCAAGGGUGAAAGGAGGGAUGGCUACAAGACCCGGAGUCCUCUGACCGGAUCAAGAUCCGGAAUGCGGGCUCCAGACCAGACCAUAACAACUACAUCUACCUUCAUCCUCAAAAAAAUCAAUCAAGCUCUUAAGGCACGACCUGCCUUUGACAAAGCCAUGCUGACUAUUCCUAAUCAUAUUAUGCCUCUCCAAAUGUUCAUAAAUCCUGCCUCUCAGGAUCUUUUGCAACAACUUACCAACCACUGAAGUAAGACUCACUGGUCUAUAAUUUCCUGGCUAUCCCUCCUCCCUUUCUUGAAUAAGAGAACAACAUCCACAACCUUCCAAUCCUCCGGAACCUCUCCCAUCCCCAUUGAUGAUGCAAAGAUCAUCACCAGAGGCUCAGCAAUCUUCUCACUCACCCCCCACAGUAGCCUGAGGUACACCUUGUCCAGUCCCGGAGACUUAUCCAACUUGAUGCUUUUCAAAAGCUCCAGCACAUCCGCUCUUGAUAUCUACAUGCUCAAGCUUUUCAGUCCACUGCAAGUCAUCCCAACAAUCGCCAAGAUCCUUUUCUGUAGUAAAUACUGAAGCAAAGUAUUCAUUAAGUACCUCUGCUACCUCCUCUGGUUCCAUACACACUUUUCCACUGUCACACUUGAUUGGUCCUAUUCUCUCAUAUCUUAUCCUCUUGCUCUUCACAUACUUGUAGAAUGCCUUGGGUUUUUUUUCUUAAUACUGUCUGCCAAGGCCUUCUCAUGGCCCCUUCUGGCUCUCCUAAUUUCAUUCUUAAGCUCCUUCCUGCUAGCCUUAUAAUCUUCUAGAUCUCUAUCAUUACAUAGUUUUUUGAACCUGAAGGAAGCUUUUCUUCUUGACUAGAUUUUCAACAGGCUUUGUACUCCACGGUUCCUAUACCCUACCAUCUUUUCCCUGUCUCAUUGGAAUGUACCUAUGCAGAACUCCAUGCAAAUAUCCCCUGAACAUUUGCUACAUUUCUGCUGUACAUUUCCCUGAGAACAUAUGUUCCCAAUUUAUGCUUCCAAAUUCUUGCCUGAUAGCCUCAUAUUUCCCCUUACUCCAAUUAAAUGCUUUCCUAACUUGUCUGUUCCUUUCCCUCUCCAAUGCUAUGGUAAAGGAGAUAGAAUUCUGAUCACUAUCUCCAAAAUGCUCUCCCACUGAGAGAUCUGACACCUGACCAGGUUCAUUUCCCAAUACCAGAUCAAGUACAGCCUCUCCUCUUGUAGGCUUAUCUACAUAUUGUGUCAAGAAACCUUCCUGAACACACCUAACAAACUCCACCCCAUCUAAACCCCUUGCUCUAGGGAGAUGCCAAUCGAUAUUUGGGAAAUUAAAAUCUUCCACCAUGAUAAGCCUGUUAUUAUCACACCUUUCCAGAACCUGUUGCCCUCUUUGCUCCUUGAUGUCCCUGUUACUAUUGGGUGGUCUAUAAAAAAUACCCAGUAGAGUUAUUGACUCUUUCCUGUUCCUAACUUCCACCCACAGAGACUCUGGUGACAAUCCCUUCGUGACUUCCUCCUUUUCUGCAGCUGUGACACUAUCUCUGAUCAACAGUGCCACACCCUCACCUCUUUUGCCUCCUUCCCCAACAUUUCUGAAACAUCUAAAGCCUGGCACUCUAAGUAACCAUUCCUGCCCCUGAACCAUCAAAGUCUCUGUAAUUGCCACAACAUCAUAGCUCCAAGUACUGAUCCAUGCUUUAAGCUCAUCCACUUUAUUCAUGAUACUCCUCGCAUUAAAAUAGACACAUCUCAAACCAUCAGUCUGAGCGCAUUCCUUCUCUAUCACCUGCCUAUCCUUCCUCUCGCACUGUCCCCUUGUAGUUUAACUGAAUAAUCCUUUCCCUGCUUUUACUGUGACCCUGGCUAUCCAGAUUACUAGACUCGCUUGUACUUUAACCCAUGACUUGCUUCUGCUCAGAGUACCAUCCCCUCCUGCCCACAACCUACCAACAUAGUUUGAACCCUCCAUUGUAGCACCAGUUAAUUCCCUGCAAGGAUGUUGGUCUUCUUCUGGUUCAAGUGCAACCUGUAUAUCUUUUACAGGUUACCUCCAGCCCAGAUGAGAUCCCUGCCUGCAGCAACAGUUUCUCAGCCAUGAACUCACCUGUCCUAUCCAUCUAUUUCUGACUUUGGAGAAAGUGACCUUAACAUGAUCGAAGGUUUGUUAAACAUAAGCUUUGAGAGCUGGAAGCAAGAAAUUUUGAAUUUGAGUGUGGUAAACUUUGCUAGCAGUGAAAAAUAAAUUAAUCACAGAAAAUUGGACUAAACUGAUAAUGAAGAAUUCUAUAAACAGUGGGAUUAUAUAAUGAAAGUUCAACUACAGUACAAAACUAUGCUUUCCUUCAACGUUAAAUGCUCCAGUUGGUCAGUUGAGCACCUGUAGUCAAGAAACAACAUAAAGUGUUUAUGCUUUAAACAAAGCAUAAACACUGAAAUAAAUACUAAGUAGAAAUCCAGUAGACUGAGAUAUAUAUAUAUAUAAUAAAUACUGAUUUCAAAAAAAUAGCAGAAAAUUAAAUGUUAAGUUUCACUUUAACUUUCAAGAAAACACAAUACUUCUAUGGUUAUAAGUAAAAUAAAUUACUUUGAUAUAAAUUUACAUAUUUUAAAAGUUUGAUAACCUAUUUAUCUUUCCCCUUGCAUUCAAUUACAUCUUCCAGAUCGAUUGGGAUUAAUUUAUUAAUUCAUCAUUUAUUUGGUUUCCUUUCAUUGACUUUCAGGCAAAAUGAAACAUAUUUACAGGUUGAGUACCCCUUAUCUGAAAUGCUUGGGGCUGGAAGUGUUUUGGAUUUUGGAUUUUUUCAGAUAUUGGAACAUAUAAUGAGAUAGCUUGGGAUUGCUGUCAUUUCCAACUGAAUUUAUAUGCUAUCGGCAAGCAGUUUUUGUCUUACACUUGUUCUUCACACGUGUACUUAACAGUAAAAAUUAUUACAGACAAUUAAUAUAAUGAAAUAUCAUGUGUGCAGAGUAACAAAAUCAGCACAGCAGCACUGGGAGAAUACCUGAAUCAGCUGGUGAACAGCAACAAACAACGCCAGGCUUCCAAUCUCCAUCUACGAUGUCAUGUUUUGAUUACAAGGUUACAGUACACUAUAUUUAUAUUUUAUUAUUUUUAGAUUUUAUGUAAGCUAUAAAUACAACCUUAGACUUGUUCUGGUUUUAAAUUUUCAUCAGCAACACUUUAAAAAUUUAAUUCCAUUAUGUAAGGUAAAAAAAACAGCCUCAUAGACUUGUUCUGGUGCUAGAUUUUUGUGAUCAACAGACACCUUAAAAAUUUAAUGAUGUGCUGAAUAUUCACAAUUUCCUUCAAUUUUCAGUUCAUCGUUAUAGAUUUUGGCUUGUUUCACGAUCAGCAUAAUGUUAAGCGACAUAACUUCACAGAUGAUACAUGAUCAAUAUCUUCAUUAUUCACUUCAUGUGGUGUUUUUCUAUUUGCCAUUAAUUCCCAUGUACAGUCACUCCUCAGAAUUGUCUGGAGCAUCACCUGGGACCUUCCCAGUGUCUUGUGGAAUUUUCCAUUUGUGACAUCACGUCAAUGCUAAAGAAAAAUUUGGAUUUCAGAGGUUUUUGGAUAAGGGGUACUCAACCUGUAUUUGAUAUUUACUCAUGUACUCAUUUGAAAUUAAACUUUUUAAAAUCUAUACAGAUAAAGGAUUAUUGAACUAUUUGUACUGCUUUCAAUCUAAUUUAACUAAAUAUUUGAUGAAUAUUAAUUUUAUCAGGGAAAUUAAUAUUUAUGGCUUUAUUCAUUCUGACAAAAGUCUUUUAAUUAUAUGGUCAGUGAAAUUACUCAAUUAUUCAAAGCCAUCAGUUGCUCUUUAUUCCUAUCCUAGAAUGUAAGAUAGUAUUUUUCUUGGGGCCUUUAAAAACAAUGAAAAUUUGAUUAUCUGUUUAUUAUGCAAGCUGCAUAAGUUAUUACUUCAUUUUCCUGGAGUCAAUUCAGCUCAGAAUGAAGAUUAGCGAGACUGUCAUGUGUUUUACACUAACGCUGGUGGUUAACUACAAAGGACCGGAGACUAAGAACAAAAUAUUGAAGUUUAAAUGGAAUAUAGUCACUAGAACAUUGAAAAAUGAAUUGUAUUAUAGCAAAUAUUCACAUCUAUUGUUCCUACACAAAUGCUAUUAAUUUGGACUCAUUUGCAUUACUCUAUGAGACAGCAAGGGGGAAUUGGGAAGUAAUGAUUAUAUGUCUGAUUCUCUU